CUCAUUUUCUCUUGCCUCUGCUAUGUAAGAAAACCUUUCACCUCCCACCAUGAUUUUGAGACCUCCCCAGCCAAGUGGAACUGUAAGUCCAAUUAAACCUCUUUUUCUUCUCAGUCUCAGGUAUGUCUUUAUCAGCAGCAUGAAAAUGGACUAAUAACCUGGUAACCACCAAUCUACUCUGUCUUCAUGAGAUACACUUUCUUAGCUCCCACAUAUAAGUGACAACAUGCGCUAUACAUUUAAUCUUCUUUUGUGUAAAUUGGGUACAUUUAAAGGAUUUGGAAAGGUUUAAAAAUGAUGUAGAUAUUGCUUAUUUCUUCUUCAGCAUAUUUCCAGAUAAUUUAUACACUAAGUUGCUAUUAAGAAUGAGAUUUUUCUUCCAUUGUCUUUGCUACUGGAUGUUAUUAAGACAUAAAAAAAACUUGAUUUAUAUAUGUUAAUUUUAAUUCAAUCAAGUUCAAAAACCUUAUUGAAUUCACCGAUUUUAAUAAGGUUUAAGAUUUGAUGUUUUCUAGGUAUUGCGUCAUAUUAUUGGCAGUGAUAUUUCUUACUUUCUCUUGGGUUUUUCCUCCUUUUCUCUCUUGUCAGAUAUAUCACUUACUAUUUCCAAAACAACGUUACAUAAUAGUAAUGAUAAUGAAAUUCUUAUUUGAUUUUUGGUUAUCAUGGAAAGGCUUCCAAUGUCUUCGGGUUGAGUUAAAGUAUAUAUUUCAUUAUUUUAAAGUAGUUAUAUGUAAAGCAUAUAUUUUGUCAUAUUAGUUUGCUUCUAUUCCUAUUUUACUUAGAGACAUUUAAAAAUAUAUAUACAUUUUUUAAUGGAAAAAAUGCCUUUCAGUAUCUUUGGAGAUCAUGAUAUUAAUAGAUUUUUUAAUAUUGAGUCGUAGUAAAAAUCUUUUUUUUUUUUAGGCGGAGUUUCACUCUUGUUGCCUGGGCUGGAGUGCAAUGGCGCGAUCUCAGCUCACCGCAACCUCUGCCUCCCAGGUUCAAGCAAUUCUCCUGCCUCAGCCUCCCGGGUAGCAAGUAGCUGGGAUUACAGGCAGGCUCCACCACACCCGGAUAAUUUUGUAUUUUUAGCAGAGACGGGGUUUCUCUAUGUUGGUCAGGCUGAUCUUGAACUCCCGACCUCAGGUGAUCUGCCCGCCUCGGCCUCCCAAAGUGCUGGGAUUACAGGCGUGAGCCACUGCACCUGGCCAUAAAAUCUUUUUAUGGCUUUCUCUUGGUCAGGUGCUAUUCUCUUUGCUUAUAUUUUAAAAUUUUAACUUAAUAUUGACAAAUAUUUCCCAUGUGCUACUUUUUAAAAAUUUGGGGAUCAACAUUGCACUGGUUUCAAAAAGAAGAACCAGAAAUUGUCUUUUUUUGUCCAUGUUCUACAACAGUUUAUAAGGCUGUCUUUUUUCUGUUCUUUAAAAGUUUUAUGUAAGUUUCUGAGCUAACUCUCUGGUUCUAAUGCCUUAGGGGAGGCAAGUGGGUACCUUGUAACAUUAUUUCCUGUUUGGAAAUUGGUCCUUUUGUGUCAGUUUCAAUUUGUUACUUUUUCCUAGAAAAUCAUCUAUUUUAUGAUUUUCAAAUUUAUUUUUUUGAGUUGAGCAAAGUUUUCAUUCAUAAUUCCUUUUAUUCUUCUGUGUCUGUGGCUAUUUUCCCAUUCUCAUUUUUUACUUUUAUAUUUCCCCCUUUUCAUAAUUAUAUUUGCUAAUAAUUUUUUUACUAUAUGGAUAAUUAUUUUUCAAAAAGAUGACUCUUAGUUGUAUUAGUUCUACCAUUUUUCAGUUUUCUUAUUUAUUAAUGUCUGUUUUUACUUUUUUAACUUAUUUUCUCUUGUUUUUAUUUUUCAUCUUGUUUCAAAUGUUUUUAGUUGUAUGCAUGAUCUGUUAAUUUUUAAUCUUAUUUGUUAAUAUAAUUACUUAGGGCUUUUCUCUCAACACUGCUUACAGUGCAGCCACAGCUCUGAUUUAUUUUUAUGCCAUUUCUAUCUUCUUUAUAUCUUUGUUAUGAGUUCUUUAUUUAUUAGAGGUUUUUUCUUGCUUUUUUAUUAGUAUGCAGAUAUUUGAAUUAUUAUCAGAUUAUAUUUACAGUGCCAUAAAUCUUUAGAAUUUACUGAGAUCUCCUUGGUGGCCUAAUAUUUGUUUGAUAUGUGUUAAUAGUCCUUGAAAAUUUGAGAAGAAGGUACAUUCUAAAUUAUAAAAUGAUAUAUAUUAUAUGUAAUUAUAUUUAAUUUUAAAAUCUAACAUAUUACUUAGGUCUUCUCUAUCUUCAUUCGUUCUUCACUUGACUUGUCAAAAUUAAGAAGCAAAAGUCUUCUGCUCUUCAUAUGUUCAGUCUAUUUAUCUGUCUCUCUGCCUCCACCUCCCUAUCUGUGUCUCUCUCUCUCUGUUUUACAUAUUUAUAUUUUAGAUAAUUUAUAUCUUAGAUACUAAUGAAAUUUGGACGAUCUGCAUAAAUUCUGCCCAUUAUUAUUAUAAAAAAAAUCCUACUUGUUUUGUUCAGUCUUUUUACUCUGAAUUCUACUUAUCUAAUAUUAAAUGUUAUGACUACUAGUUUCUUUCCUCUUCAAUUCUUGAAAUGUUUUUUCCUUUUAAAAACAAUUUUCCACUCUUUUUAGUCACUUUGUUUUAGAUGUGUUCCUUAUUUAUGCUUUGUGAAUUUGUACGAUGACCUUUGUUAUUAUUCAGGAGGUUUGCCUUCUGCUUUUAGAAAUGUUAGCAGUUACUUCUAUUAAUAUAACUAGAACUUAUUAUAACAUAUUUAAUUUUCUAUGUCUAUGAAUAGUAUCAACUAACUCUUAAUAUGAAGACACAAGAAAUUAACAUAUUCCACAGCCUUUCAGUUCUUUCUUUCCUUUCUUCUCAGCAUUGCCAAUAUAAUACUUGAUUAUAUGAUUUCCAUGGUUCUUGUAGUCUUUGCCUUUCUGACAUUAAGAAGACAAACUUUAAUUAUCUGGUUUAUCAGCUUUUAAAUUAAUAAAUUAACUUGGCUAUAAAGUGAAAAGUCAGUUUUAUUUAUACUACAAACUUCUUUAAAUAAUUUGUGUUUCUGUUGUGGGUAUAUAUUCCAAUGGUAGAACUACCUACACAUCACAUUCUUAACAUUGGAAAUCCAAUAAGAUUUUUAUGUCUCUCUAAAAAUAAUUAUAAUUUUAAAAGCAAAGAUUUUUUCCUAUAGUCAACUGAGAGUUAGCUAGCAAUUUUAAGAAGAAAUUUAGAUAGGACAAAGGCAUAUACAGCAUAGAAAAGAAUAAAUCCAAUGGCACAAGAGUAGUAUAACUCAAGUUUGUUACCGAAUAUUUUAAGUACAUAAAUUUAAAUCACAUCACUAUAGUACUAUUUUGCAUGUAAUAAUGUUGCAAUAAAAUAUUGCAAGACAAAGAUAAUAUUUGUGAAGUGAAAUAAAAAUGCUUUGUCUUAGCUUCACCUGCAUGGUGCCUUAUGUAAACACACUGCUGUUUGCUCACUAGAAAGAAUUAGUUGAAUAUACAUUCUCAGGACAGCUUGACAUACAGUCAAGAGGUACAGACUGUACUACUUGUCUAACUAUGCAAACUUUUCAUUUUGAGUUAAGUAGAAGAGGCAGUUUCCAAUGUGUUUGUCUUUUGCCUGAGAACCUCUUUACAUCUCGUGUAACCCCAGGAGAAAAUACCACUGGGGUUACUUAGAGGAAUUCGGACUACUAGAAUUGGAUCUGAGUUUUAUUUGCUGUGUCAGGAAAAGCCUACUUGUCUACAGGGUGACUGUUGCUAUCUCAGAAGAAGUUCGGUCUUAGUUGUUUAGGAAGUCACAUAUGGGCAGUCUUCACAUUGACUUUUUUAUAUGCCCUUAAUCAGUUGCGUCUACCUUAUACUGCCCCCUAGAGUACACAAAGUCCAUUGACAAGCGUUAUCUUCCACACAUUUUGAGUGUGCCAAUCACAAACUGCAUCUUUAAGUCAUUUCUCUAUUGUUCAUUCAUACAUGUAUAACCGUAAAUAAGAUUUACAACUGACCUUUAUUGUGAAGUACACAUGCUAUAUCGUACUGCUUCUCUAACACUGCUCAAAAAGAAUGUUAGAUGUCAGUAGAUAGACUCAACAUACCUAUCAUCAGAGAGAUAGACAUAGUUGCAUUAACUUUCAUAGCAUUGACAAACCUCAGCCUCCUUGCUUGAAAUGUUACCAAUACUAAUGCUAUUUACCCCAAUCAUAAUCAUCAUCGUAAGACAGCAAGCCUCCCUCCUACACAUUUGUAACUAAACUCAGUGCUUCCAACUCAGAGAUGGUUUUCAAUCAAUAUAUCCAUUGUGUGAAAGUAAAUGCGACUUGGCCUUCAGCCAAGACUAUGCCCAAGACAUUAGUUCUGUGUUCCCUGAGUGAAUUCAGCCUUUCUUAUAGGAUUCAGGUAUUUAAUCACUCCAUGUCUACACAAUAUCACUGCGAGCCCUGGGAAGCAUUACCACAUUGCUGUUUUUAUUUUGUCACUCACUCCCCUUACUGGUUUGUUUUUAGAGGUUUAACUGAGCCUUUAGCCUAAAGGCUAUUUCCUUUACAUGUGUUAUACAGAAGUAUGUAGGAAUUUCGCCAAGAGGCAAUAUAAUGAGUGUUGGAAAUGGGACAGGUUUUGGGGUCAGAUGGACCUGCAUUUGAGAUCUGGCACUGUCACUCACUUAUUGAGCAACCUGGGAAAGUUUACUUAACGUCUGAAAAUCUUAUUUUUUCAUCUGUAAGAAUGCAUACUACACUCCAAAUUGCAUAAUUAUUUUGAAAAUUAGAAAUAAAGCCAUGUAUCUAACAGAUUUUUAAAAAGUAAAUAGCUCAGGGGUAUGUAAUGUAUUUAAAAGAAAGGAUUCACAGGAAAAUAUGUGACUUCUUAUCUCUACUAUCAAAGAAAAGAAAAAAAAAGAAACAUUACCCUAAGAAAAUAAGAUAUCCUUGGGUUUUUUUAGUUCUAAUGUUUAAAUUAAUAUGUUUCACAUAAAAAAUCUUCUACCAGUUUUCGAUUACAGAUGACUUAAUCUAACAACCACCAUCCAGUAAGUGUGAGGACUGUGCUAAGUGCCAUGAGAAACUCAGGACACACUGCAAGAGCCUGGCACUUACUGAGGCUCAGAAAACAAUACCCCAAAGUCUGGCACUUUGGCAUGCUGGGUACUUUGAACUAAAGGAGAUUGGAAGGCCUGAAAAGCAGUCUCAGAAGCAGUAUCUCUCUGACCUGUUCCUGCCUGCCUAUCUCCCACCCCUCGUUUCCUCACAAAGAAGGGUCCUGUCCUGUACCCGGGAGGAAGAAAUGCUACACAGAGAAGCCAAGAUGAAUCUGAACAGACAGCCUUUGUCAGUUCCACAGAUUCCAUAAAAGUUAACUCCAGAGCAGAGAAUGAUGCCACAGUCGGGAUAACAUCCAAUAUUUGCAAUCAGAAGAAAUAUGAGAGUCUUGCUCCAUCACCCAGGCUGCAGUGCAGUGGCACGAUCUUGGCUCACUGCAAGCUCCACCUCCCGGGUUCACGCCAUUCUCCUGCCUCAGCCUCCCAAGUAGCUGGGACUACAGGCGCCCACCACCACGCCCAGCUAAAUUUUUUUGUAUUUUUAGUAGAGAUGGGGUUUCACUGUGUUAGCCAGGAUGGUCUCGAUUUCCUGACCUCGUGAUCUGCCUGCCUCGGCCUCCCAAAGUGCUGGGAUUACAGGCGUGAGCCACUGUGCCCGGCCGUAAUUAUUCUUUUCGUGUUAAGCAAUGGUAAAAGAACUGACUGAAAAUAAGAAUAUUAAAAAGUUUCUCUGCUAAAAACAGAAAAUUAUGUUUGUUACCAUUCCUACUAUAACCCCAGUGAUAUGGCUCCGAUGAGUGGAGGAACACCAGGGUUCUUGGUCUUCAUGCCAGUUUAGAUAAAACAACACAGACAUACGUGGAGUGGUUUUAAGGAGCAGACAGUUUAAUAGGCAAGAAGAAAAGAGAAGGCAGAAGGAAAAGGCUCCCCGAUACAAAGACAGAGGGAGGGGGCCUCCAAAGCCAAAAGAGGAAAUCCCAAGUGCAGUGGAUACCAGCCAGGUAUAUGUAGAGGCUGGAGGAGGUGGUGUCUGAUUUGCAUAGGGCUCAGGGGAUUGGUUUGACCAGGCCUGUAAUUCACGGGGCCUGAAAAAGCUGGCCCUCCCACCCUAGCAUUUAAUAUGCAAAUGCAGGGCGCCACGAUGUUCUACAAAUGGUGGGUAUAUGUGGGAGCGGCCAUGUUGCCAGGAACAUGUGGGGCAAGGGCAAGAAGGCCACGGGAAUCACCAUGUUUGGGUAGACGCAGUUUCUAAUGGCUUGCAUUUGCCUAUCAAAGGUUGCCAGCCGCUCUAAGAGCCAGGGCAUUCCAAUUCUGGAGCUGCUUUAAAAAUGAAAACUUCCCAAGGAUCCCUUUUCUUUUCUAUCUGCCUAAAAUAAUUUCUUAAUAACUCCUACAACACAAUGAUUUUCAGUGAAACAAAAGCUGCUGUUUUAUUUUUGUUAAAUUGUUUUUCUUAGCUAAAGAGAUAAAAGUGAGGAUGAGGGAUUCAAAAUGUGGUUUACUUUAUAGAGCUUGCAAAACUCACAGCAUUUAAAGCAGUUUUUAACAGGAGUAUGGGGAUAGGGCUUGAAUGAACUUGGAAAUGCCAUUCAAUUGCUAAAAUCAUAUGCAUCACAUUGUGUUCGUCUGCACAUACGUGCACUUUUCUGGUAAGAAGUUUCAAACUUACAACAAAUUUUCAAAAGAGGUCUAUACUUUUGAAAGUAUAAGAAAUCACUUAGUUUACUGACUUUCCUUAUUUCAGGCCACAUCCAAAAGUACAAAACAGCACAUUUACAUUUUGUAUUUCACAUUUUUUUCAAUACUUACCUUGGGAGCCAUAGGCCCUGCUAAAGUUUUGCUGAAAAAUCAUGGACAUGAUGCAGAUUAAUUAAGAGGAGAAAAGGCAUAUAGAUUUAUUUAACAUGUAUACACAGGAGCAUUCAAAAUGAAGACCCAGCUUCUCCAUGAGUUACAGAAACUUAUAUACCAUCUUGAGUUUGCAGAACGAAUGGGGGCUUGCAUCCUGGUAAGACAGGAUAUAGGAAGAAGGAGAAGAGAAAUUCUAUUGAGGGGCAAUAAAUGACUGUGAAGGAGAAUGAUUGGAUCAGGGAACAGAGAUUAACUUUGUAAAUAGUUUUCUUUGAAAUUUAAAUGAUCCUUGGAGACAAUCAUUGUUCUUAUUAAAAGGUCUGUUCAGGUAUUGGUCACAUCUUGGCCUUCUUUUCUGCAAUAGAUAAUGAGAUAACAGAGAUGGGAAGAAAACACAAUAGUUCUCAUUGGUAGGUCUGGAUCCUAAGCAGAUAAAGGAACUUCAGUUUAUUUGGGAGAGACAGUGGUGGUGAGAGGCCAAAGAGAUCUUCAGGCUUCUUCAGCUCAGCAUGUCAAAAUGCCAUAUUUUGGUAUAUGAAUUUCUGAGCCCCAACAUUCUCCCAUCUGAAACUUCCCUAGGAGUUUCACAAACUAAAAGCUGAGUUAGUGGCUGUGGAAGAGAAAAGUUAAGCUAAAAUAUGAAUGGCAAAUAAUUCUAUUUAACCAAUCUGUGAAUAGGUCAAUUAAACACCUCUUUCAUUUUAGGAGAUAGCAUUGCAGAUGGGCUUUCAAACAGAAGAAAAACAGGUUAAUUUUGGAAACAGUCUAUAAACCAGUUUCCUUACAGUCUGCAGGGCAGUCAGUUGAGGUGUCCAGAUGUUAGACUCAAAGCCCAGUUAAAGAGGAAGCCAGCAAUGGCAAUCUGACAAGAUUUUUUUUGCCUGUUUCAAAAAGUUUAAGCUUUAGCUUAUAGGGCCUCAGGAAAAAGGUAGUAGCAAUUCCAUUGAGUCCAAGUAAGAAAAAUCCUUUUGAAUUUUUUAUUACCAGAUUUUAGUGAGGAUAAACAGCUGAUAUUUCUGGCUUUUAAACAUUUUUUUUUUUAACCAAUGACAUCCUCCCAAGUACCAUAAUCGAGGUUAUAACUUAAGCAUAAGGUGUCUUCAAAGAGGUGGCAAACACUUUUUACAAGAUAUAAAAUUACCCCAAAGAUAGCUCAAAGAAAGGAAAAUUUUGGUAGCCAUAAAUGGAGUGUGACUCACAUUUCUGUUUGGCCAGUCUCUGGAGUCUCAGCUGCUCAGCUCAUUUUCUACAUACAGAAGCCAAAAUGCCUCAUAUGCCCCCACAGAUGAAAGACAGGAAAUCAAAAUCUGUCCAUGGAAGGGAAAAUAAUCAAUAAAUUUUGGGAAGGUAACACAAACGUCAAUCCAGAAAGCACUAAGUCCCUUGCCAGAAGUUUAAUCCAGGCUGCUGUGGUAAAAGGGCAGACCUUGGCUACUAGGUUACAACAUGAGGUGGUCUUUAUUGUUCUUCCCAGAAGAAAUCCAGAGCAGACAGUUUCAAUUUGCAAAGGAUUUUAACUUUGUUUUAGGUCAGAUUUUUUUUUCUCUUUUAAUUUAGUCAGAGAAUUCUCAAGGCUAACUGUGACACCAUUAUGUGUCCUUUUAAAAUGUAUUUUCCCAUUAAUUCUUUCCAAUUAAAAAAAAUCUCUAAAAUCUUUUAAAAUUUAUCUUUUGGCCACUGACAAUUAGAAUUUUCAAUGACAUACUUAAUUCCAAUAGUGACUUUAUCCAAAAGCCUCUUCAUGUAAAGCCCAGGUGGUAAUUUUCCAGGUUUUUACCAUGUAAGCAACAGUUGUUCCCGGAGAGGGUGUAGAGGAGGCGAUCCCCAUGAUCUCCACAAAUUCAUUCUCGGAAAUAGACUCAACAUAGCAAAGAUGACAAAAACCCCAUAGGGUUGGGACUUUUUAAGACAAAACUCACCUAAAAGCUUCAUACAUUCAGAAUGAAGAGUGUGCUGCUUAAAAUAUUACAUGCCUCGGUUUGCAAUCUUUCAGACUGGCUGCCUAAUGUGAACCUGAAAAAUCACACCCUUUGGAUGAUGGAGACUAAGAGAGGACCCCCACUUAGUCAGUCAUGCUCUCAAGGACAUAAGACAGGAUAAAAGGAAAACCUCAUCUGUAUUACAGGGACCCAUAGCAAAGUUUGUUUUAAUAGACACCCAUCUAGCCAGAACCACCAAACCAGCCAAUCUUCAGGGCUGGCUGAAACAAUGGGCUUAUAGGGGUUCUAGGCCUAUGUUCUACACUAUGGUACCCAUCUUCACGACAGAACAACACAGAAAGACAAAGACAAAGGAAAAUGGCAACAACAACAACAACAACAAAUCACCUAUUUCUGAGAGGAAAGGGGGGGUCGAAGAAUGUGAAUAUUCAUACCUCACAGUACUGAAAGUACACUGGAGUCACUAUAACCCAAGACUCAUCACACAAAUCCUUUUUUCUCAUUAAUAAAAUCAUUGCAGAUGAGACAAACAAUGAUUUUUUCCCAUCCACUCAACUGGAAUGCAAAGAGAGAGAGAGGUCAGGAGACUGGCUGGUAAGAAAUUCUUAUCCCUUUGCUGGCAGGUCAGGUUCCUGGGUUCUCUUUACUGCAGCUUAUAGAAGAGAAGAGCAGCUUUGAUUACCCUGCUCACUGCACUAUACUGUGGUGGCCAUAGGCUCUUGGUCCCUUGAAGUUUCACUGAAAAAAAAAUCACUGACAUGAAGCAGAUAAAUUAAUAGGGGAAAAGGCAUGUAAAUCUAUUUAGCAUGUAUACACAGGAGCCUUCAGAAUGAAGACCCAACUUCUUCAUGAGUUACAGAAACUUGAGGUUACAAAAGAAUGGGGGCUCGCAUCCUGGUAAAACAGGUUAUGGGAACGGUGGAGGGGGAAGAGGAAUUUUACUGAUGGGCAAUAAAUGAUUGCAAGGGAGAAUGACUGGAUUGGGGAACAGAGAUUAACUGAUCUGUAGAGACAGUAAUUAUCCUCAUAAAAAGGUCUGUGCAGGUAUGGUCACAGCUUCUUUUCUGCAGUAGAUAAUGAGAUAAUGGGGAGGGAAAGAAAAAGACAAAUUAUUCUCCUUGGUGGGUCUGGAUUUUAGGCAGAUAAAGGAACUUCAGCUUCUUUGGGUGAGAUCAUGUGGAGAUUAGGUCAGAGAGACCUUGAAGCUUCUUCAGCUUAGCAUGUCAAAACAUCAUAUUUUGGGGUAACAAUUUCUGAGCCCAACAUUAUUAUGUCAACCCCUCCAGGAAACUGCAAUUGAGCAGAAUAGAUAGUAAUGAUACUAAGGUUAUAAGGGUGUUAAAAGAUAACAUUUUUUAAGGGUAAAAGCAUUCUUCUCAAAAAAUAUAAAACACAUGAAGAUUCUAUUAAAUUCAUUAAUUAAUAAUGGAAUCAAAUGUUAGAACCAGUUCAGAGUAGUUCUUUUUAAUGACACAAAUGUAGGGAAUAAGGAAUGCUAAAACAAAAUUUUAAAUAAAGACAGAAGUGAUCUAUCUACAGGACAAUAACCAACUGCAUUCCACAAGGACCCAAUUUGUUUGUAUUUCAACUGAAAAGAAUCAUUCACAUUAUUAUGAGUUUUAAAUCCUUCAAAAACAAUGACAAGCACAGAGAUUGCAGAUGGGUACACUAUAAAGGCUGCCAGCGAUCUCCCCCUCCCUCAUUUCGAAUCUGUCACAAUUUUUCUGACAUGCAUUUGCAGAGAAAUUGUGAUGAAGUUUUUUUCUGUCACACAAAAGGCAAGCAUCCAAUUUGACUGAGGGAGUCAAAGGUAGUCCCCACAGAAGUGGUAUUUAAAUGAAUGUUGAAUGAAUGUGCAUUAAGUAAAGAAUAUCUAUGGGGACUUAACAUUUGAAAGGUUCUGGGGCAUCUGAAAAAACAGAGCAAAGCUGUUGGAUGACAAUGGAAUGCUAAUUUAGAGUCGUGUUUGGAAGAACUGAGGUCCCAGUGGUGGAAUUUGAGUUUAUGAUUUCCCAAAGUACGCCUCCUAGAGGAGGAAGUAUACAUCAGUGCUUGAUGGCUUUGAGAGAGUCUUGAGAGUGUAGCCUGCAGCUUCUCAAUGAAAAAUGUCAAAUUUAUCUGCAAUCAUGUUUUAUCUUAAAAUUUCGCUUGGUUUUUAAUAUAACAAUCUAUGAGAUUACAACUUAUUGAGUAAAAUUUAUUGUGCUUAGUACAUGAGAGGAAAGAAGUAUAUAUUGGUUUUGAAUUUUGGCUGAACUGACAUUCCACAAAGUCAUCCCAGGCUCUUAGCCAGACUCUCUGGGUACACUCACUUUGUCUCCGGAGAUAUGCAAGCUCCUCAAAUUAAGGUGCAAAACAUGCAUUGACUACAGGUUACUAAAAGCUUUUAUUGGUCAGUGAAGUCACACGGUUAGUUUUAUUAUGUUUGGGGAAAAUUACUGCCAAUUCCAUGAAAGAAGAUUUGACCCAGCACCAGUGGGAAGCAGUGAUCAGAAAAUGGGCUGCCGAAACAGGCUUGGACUGAGGGUGUGAAUGGGAAGAAAAACGCUAUCUUACAGAGGUAAUUAAAAUGUUCUGACCAAUUAUCUACAGGCGAGAAAAGAGAAGGGUCAGGUAUAACAUUUCUGGUUGUAUUCCUGCAGACAGUUUGCUGGUAGAACUGGAGUUAGCAACUAUGCCACUGAUAGAAACAGGAGACAGCCAAGGGUCCCCGGAGAAACCCUGCCUUCAAGCCUAAAACGCCCUGCAGGCUGAAAAACCAGCUGCUGGUCCUGGAUGAAACCCACAACCCAGAGGGAGAACUGCCCCUGUUUGCCCGCCCUUUCCCAGCCGAUUCUUUCAGAAUAAGGCCCACAUGCGCACCGGGGAAACGGGGUCGAGCCACAGAAAGUUGCGCCUUGUUCAAUGGGGAGGAGUCUGGUCUCUUCAGUUUUCCUGUGCGUGGCCUGGAAUCAAUCUGUGAGGUGGGGGCCUAUUGGCAGGAUCCCCUCUCGCUUUCUUGAGAGUUUUUUUCUUUUUUUCCUUUUUGCCCAGUAAAUUCUGUUCCCCACACCCUUCAAUGUGUCCACGUGCCUAAAUUUUCCAGUUCUUGAUAUAAGAACCUGGAUUUAGCUGAACUAAGGAGCAAAAAUUCUCCUUAGAAUUUUUGGAAGGUUGGUGUAAAGUUAACAGUUGCAGCCACCUGACGGUUUCUAAAUCCCAGGUUUCUUGUAUUACCCAUUGCUCUUUUUCUCUAGCCUUUUAAAGCAGACCUGUAAGAGACCAGGCCAGCUUUAGCAUUUCUUUUGUCUUUUAAUCUGUAAGUUUUGUGCUUGAGCAGGAAGCAGACAGGUUACCUUUUUAAGACACUAAAGGAGAUGAGAUGAAAUUAUUUGUAUGAUCAAAAUGCAUAUUUAGAAUGUGCAUCUGUAAGUUUUCCAUGAUUAAGUUCUUGGGAAAAAAUUUUCAUUUUCCUACUUGGGAUUAAAGAAAAUUCAUCAUAAUAGCGUAGUUAGAAGAGUGAAUGUGAGGAUGCAAAGCCAAGCAAUAUUUAAAUUUACCAAUCUAAGAAGAAAUCUUUAAUCUGGCAUUAUGGCCAAUGAAUCUCAUGUAAAAUUUUCUUCCAGAUGCCCACACAGCUUAACUUUUAGAAACACAACACAGGAUAUUUCAGAGAUAAGCUGUGAUGAGUUCAGGACACGCUACCCCCAAAAUAUGACACAGUGGCAUAUGUAAUAUUUUAGGUGGAAGGAAUUUGAGAAAUAUCAUGAGUGGGAAGUGUCUUCUGACCUUCCCAUGAAGCAGAUCAUAACAACCUCAUGUGAAAGGUGCCCUCCCUAUACCCAGAUGAAAGGAGCAGCCUUCUCUCUGAAGACACAGGGACACAGACAAGAACUGAAUGAAGGGAUUUUGCUCAGUUUUCCCCAGUUUACUCAUACCCUUUAUGCUAUCACAUUUUCCCAUAACUUUCCACUUUUCAUUAAACCUAGAAUAAAAACUCUCAGGUUAAACUGUUUCUUUGCGUCUUCAUUUCCUUAUGAAAACUCCCAUGUCACAUAAAACUUAAAUAAAUGUGCAUGCUUUUCUCUUGUUAAUCUCUUUUGUUACAGGAGUACCAGCCAAUGCACGUUAAGAUGAGUAGAAGGAAAAGAUGUUUUUCCUCCUCUAUAGCUACAUAGUCACAAACAAGGCUGUACCUGUAUAAGGUUUCUUUGGAUAGCAGUGAGUAAAACCUACGCGGAGAGGUUCUAUGCCGAAGGAAUUUUGCUUACUGGAGGACCAGAAACACACGCGCGCGCGCGCGCACACACACACACACACACACACGGGCAGGGGACAAGGGCGUGGCAAAGGGCUCAGAGUGAUUAGGGAACAUGAGCCUUAUGGAAACCAAAGGAUCCUGGAAAGCAGUAAUAGUCAUUGCUGACAUUCAUUAAUAGCUUAUUAUGAGUGUGUGUGUGCAACACACACACACACACAGAGAAAGAGAGAGAGAUUGAUUCUGCUUUUUCUGGAACUAGAGCUAGAAAUGUGGUUUAGGAGGGUUAGGAUACAAAUCCUAUUCCUUUGGGAUUGCAUCCUUCAAAGGGUGUAUGAGGAGAAUUAUCAUUUCUUUAAUAGUGCUUGGCCCUAAACUUUCCCACAAGUCUGGUCAUGGAAAGCUUUCCCAAGGAGUUCUGCUUUGAGUAUUUAUAUCCGUCUGACUUCUAGGAAAAAGCCAAGAAAUAGACAGAGAGACAAAGAAUACCCUAAAGACACUUAGAGAUGUACCAGAUUGUAAUGUUGCAAAUUUCUUAGGACAAUAUCAUAUAUCAGAAGAGAGUGGGUUUACUUGGAUAGGAGUCAGAAAUUUGGGGAAAUAAUGGCUGUGUUAGCAAAUGCGCCUUCACCCUACCAAGAAGGCUUGUUUUUCUUAGCACACAGUGGAUUUAAAGUUACAGCCUGAGUGGAUAUUCCCAGCUCAGUUGAUUUCUCAUGAGCCACAUAUAUUCACAUGCCCCAGACAAGAUUAUUUCCAGUUUUCAGCACUCGUAGUUCUGGGAAGGGAGAGCUAAAUUAUGUGAGAGCACUCUCAGUGGGGGGACACAUAGAGAGAGUUGUUCUAGCAGCAAUAAAACUAGGGCAAUAAGGGGAAUUGAAGGUUAGGCAAGUCUGAGGCCUCAGACAUGGUGUUCAAUCAAUUAUAACAGAAGGACCUGCAUUGAUUCCAGCUGAAAUCUUAAGUAGGUAGCAGCUAGAUUAGCCUCAACAGAGAAAACAAUUAUUUUGGGGGCUACCUGUGGAGAUGAACUCCCUAAAAAGCUCUAAUUUUUAGAAAAUAUUUCUUAUCGUUUCAACAAACAUUAUGAAGUAUAUUCUGGACACUGGGAAUAGAAAAGUGAGUACGAAGACCCUUUCCUCAAAGGUUUUCUAGUCUUUUCACAAAUUUCUUAUGGGUUUGACAACAGAAAUGAUACUUGAGAAUAUUUAUACCUAUAAUUAAUAAAUUAAUUUUUGCCAUGAAGAAGGAAGACAAAAGAACAUCCAAAAAUUCAUAAAAUACUCUCAACAAAGUAAAAGUUUAUUCCACAUUGAAUCAAAGUAUUAAUUUCAUUUUCUGCAGAUUUUUCAAAUUGGCACUUGCCGUUAAUAAGAAACUUUUACUUUGUUUCCAUGAUUUAUAUAAGGUAAUUUAUAUCAUUCAACUUGCUGUAAAAGUUGAGACUGUUGGAAUUUCUUCAGUAGUUCCACUUCCAACCUUGUGCAGGAACUAUUUCUAACUUCCUAUUUUCAGUCUCCCCAUCUGCAAAAUGGAUUUAAUGACACAUUCACCCAAUAGAUUUUUAAAUAAGUAUUUAAAAAGCAAAUAUAGGGCUGGGUGCGGGGGCUCAUGCCUAUAAUCCCAGCACUUUGGGAGGCUCAGGCGGGCAGAUCAUUUGAAGCCAGGAGUUUGAGAACAGCCCAGGCAACGUGGCGAAACCUAUCUCUACUAAAAAUAUGAAAAUUAGCCUGGCGUGGUGACACAUGCCUGUAAUCCCAGCUACUCAGGAGCCUGAGGUGGGAGAAUCCCUUGAACCCGAGACGAGGAGGUUGCUGAGAUUGUGCCACUGUACUCCAGCCUGGAUGACAGAGUGAGACUGUAUCUAAAAAAAUUAGAAUUAAAAUUAAAAAGUAAAUAUAUAUAUAAAGCACAAAAAAGAGUAACUUACUCAUAGUAAGCUAUUAAUGAAUGUCAGCAACGACUAUUACUACUUUCCAGGGUCCUUUGGUUUCCAUAAGGCUCAUGUUCCCUAAUCACUCUGAGUCCUUUGCCACGCCCUUGUCCCCUGCCCGUAGUGUGAAGUGCUAUUCCCUAUUUAGAGAGCAAUAGCCACUGCUUUAUGUUCUUCACCUGGGAAGGGCUGAUCCAGCAACGAUCCCCAACAGAGGGAUUGGAUCUUUUUCUUCUUCUUUCUCACAAAGACCAAUGGGAGGCGGAGACCUAGAACCUGGGAGCAGGAAGCAGCCAAGGGAAGAGGUGAUUUUUAUUCAACCCUUCAAAAUGCCAAUGUUGUUAAUAAUAUUGUAGCACUACUAAUAAUGCAGACUGUGAUGGCCUCUAUGUCCAGAAGGUCAGAAGUUACCUCAGCCCGCUCCAGGGACACACGGAGGCCAUAGCAUAACGUGGGGCCCAAAGCCAUCUGUUCACAGCAGUGAUACUGACGUAUGGAAUCUGAGGAGCAUUUUGAGAAGCUCUUUUGGUGCAGGUUUUUCAAGCCUCAUCAUUGCAGUAACUCUGGAGCUAUGUUAAGAAACCCAAAAGAGGCAAAAAGAGUAAUGAGAGCCAAGAGGGGUGCCAAGAGAUUCAGGUUUCAUGUGUGACAUUUGAAACAAAAGAUUGGGAAGCGACCUGGAGAAAUUUCCUGAUUUGGUAUUUAGCUGUUCACUGGCCUUGACCUCUGGCCUUGGCCAUGAGGAAAUGGUUAAAGUCAUUGACAAAGAAAAGAGAGCAGAGAAUGGUGUGUGUGUGUGUGUGUGUGUGUGUGUGUGUGUGUGUGUGUGUCUGUGUCCUGCCUCAUAGCCGUUGAUGAAGAUUUUCUCCUUGACUAAACACCAGCCAAGCUCCUCUGAGUCCUCUUCUCAACUAACCCUCAACCUUGGCCUAAAACCACAAAAUGUCAGCAUAAACAAUUUCAUCCACCCCUGUCCCCCACUUUAAAAGACAUGAACAAAUACUAACAUAGUUUCUAACAGCUCAAGGGCAUAUCCUUAGGAUGAUGACUCCAGCGCCAUAAGUUCCUGACUGAGAAAGCUCAGGGUUGCAAAACAAUUUACUGUUUUGUACCAGCCAACACCUGAAUAGGGUCCCUGUCUCCCAGUCUUGGAGGGGGAGUAGGAAUCUAACUUUGAUAAAUGCCAGUUUGCAAACCAAGGUAGCUCCACAUGGACCAACCCCACUUUCUCACAUUUUGUAAAUGUCCACUUCCCUGAUUCUGCUCAAGCCCCUGCUGUUCCCUGUCCCUAGCUCCUCAUCCUUCCUCUAUAAGGCCUAGCCACCUCUGCACAAAUCGUAGUUCAGUUCAGUUCACACUGGACCUACUUCUCUAUUGCAAUUAUUUAUGACUAAUGAAAAUUUGUCUUUACCACUUCCCUCGGUGUCUGGUUUUCUUUAUCUUUGACAGCACCUUCAGCAAUACACAUUCUGAUAUCCUGGGGGAUCUGAUUUUUGAGGCUGAUGAGGCACUUAGUAGGGUAACUAUUUCCAGGAAAAGCUCAGUGAGCAAGAAGAGGAUGAAAACCAACCAGGCAAUGGUUGGAGGAAAGCGCGGCUCAGAUGAAAACAUUAGGAGUGACAUUUUUUAAAGAAAGAAUAUUUCUAAUAGAAAAAGCAUUUGGAUCCUCAGUUAAACAAUUUCGAAGAAAUAUUCCUCAUGGCAAGGAGUUUUAAAUAGAAGAACGUUCUGGUCCCCUAAACUUACUCUCUUGCCUUCUCUCCUUUCUGAUUAAAAAAUUUACUGUUUCUAAACCUUCCUUUUUUCUACCUAUAAAACAUACAAAUUUUAUUAAAAUGAGUCACAUGAGUUUCUAUACACAAGAAAAUGUUAAUGUAAGAAAAAUUAUUAUAUUAUUUGAUUUAGGGAAUUGACUUAAUUUAUACAAUCUGAAUUAUUUUUAUUCUUUAUCCAUGUUCUGGCCUUUAACAACAUUUGUUUCCUUGAUAUAGUUCCUUGUUAUAUAGUUUUGUAAUUUAACUUUAUGUCUUAAAGGUCCAGAAAGCAAACUUAGAUUAAGACAAAUAAAAUAAAACAGACAGUAGAGAUAUCAAUAGAUUUACUUAGAUCCAUUCACUUAACAUCAAUGCAUAACACAUUCCAAAAGCGAG
rnacentral:lncRNA from 1 species